GAGCGGCGGACGGGUAAGUAUGCCUGGGAAAUUGCCCAGUCGAGGGGGAUAACAGUUGGAAACGACUGCUAAUACGCAUGCGCCUACGGGGAAGCAGGGGACCUUCGGGCCUUGCGCGAUUGGAUAUGCCCAGGUGGGAUUACUAUUUGUGAGGUAUGGCUCACCAAGGCGACGAUCCCUACUGGUCUGAAGAUAUCACCACACUGGAACUGAACACGGUCCAAACUCCUACGGGAGCAGCAGUGGGGAAUAUUGCACAAUGGGGGAAACCCUGAUGCAGCCAUGCCGCGUGUGUAAAGAAGGCCUUCGGGUUGUAAAGCACUUUCAGCGAGGAGGAAAGGUCAGUAGCUAAUACCUGCUGACUGUGACGUUACUCGCAGAAGAAGCACCGGCUAACUCCGUGCCAGCAGCCCGCGGUAAUACGGAGGGUGCAAGCGUUAAUCGGAAUUACUGGGCGUAAAGCGCACGCAGGCGGUUGGAUAAGUUAGAUUUGAAAGCCCCGGGCUCAACCUGGGAAUUGCAUUUUAAAACUGUCCAGCUAGAAGUCUUGUUAAGGGGGGGUAGGAUUCCAGGUUGUAGUGGUGAAAUUGCGGUAAAAGG
rnacentral:rRNA from 1 species